UACGUAGGGGGCAAGCGUUAUCCGGAUUUACUGGGUGUAAAGGGAGCGUAGACGGAAAGGCAAGUCAGAAGUGAAAACCCAAGGCUCAACCAUGGGACUGCUUUUGAAACUGUCAAACUAGAGUACGGGAGAGGUAAGAGGAAUUCCUAGUGUAGCGGUGAAAUGCGUAGAUAUUAGGAGGAACACCAGUGGCGAAGGCGUCUUACUGGACCGAAACUGACGUUGAGGCUCGAAAGCGUGGGGAGCAAACAGG
rnacentral:rRNA from 1 species